rnacentral:rRNA from 1 species
GAUGAACGCUGGCGGCGUGCUUAACACAUGCAAGUCGAACGGUGAAGCAGGAGCUUGCUCCUGUGGAUCAGUGGCGAACGGGUGAGUAACACGUGAGCAAUCUGCCCUGGACUCUGGGAUAGGCGUUGGAAACGACGUCUAAUACCGGAUACGAGGCGUGGGGGCAUCCCCAACGCCUGGAAAGAACUUCGGUCCAGGAUGAGCUCGCGGCCUAUCAGGUAGUUGGUGCGGUAACGGCUCACCAAGCCUACGACGGGUAGCCGGCCUGAGAGGGUGACCGGCCACACUGGGACUGAGACACGGCCCAGACUCCUACGGGAGGCAGCAGUGGGGAAUAUUGCACAAUGGGCGCAGGCCUGAUGCAGCAACGCCGCGUGAGGGACGACGGCCUUCGGGUUGUAAACCUCUUUUAGCAGGGAAGAAGCGAAAGUGACGGUACCUGCAGAAAAAGCACCGGCUAACUACGUGCCAGCCGCCGCAGUAACAC